ensembl:snRNA
AACCACCCUUUCUUGUGGUUUGCACAACUGUCCAAGGAGUGCAUAGUGAAGGAAAUACUGCUGAUGCCUACACAGCACAUCUGCAUCGAUGAGCUUUGCUUUACUUUGGUGCAAUUUUUGGAAAA